CACGAAACUGUAUGAGCUAACUAAAAUUAAAAUUAUGUUGCAAAAUAACUAAGAAGUUAUAGUUAGGGGUGAAAGGCCUUUCAAACGCAGUGAUAUCUUGAUUUUCCUAAAAGGUAUUGAGUACAUUUAAAAAUUUAGAGCGAUUAGGUUUUAAAUAGCCAUUAAAUAUAAUUAGCUAAAUACGUUGAUAUAAAAGUCUACAAAAGAGUAAAUUAAUAUUAAUUAUUGAGAAUUAUGAUAUGUAGGGAAAUAGUUGUUAACUUUAUUUCAAGUUGAUAAUGUUAAUAUCAGUAAUUUUAAAGGUGCCAAUAGUGAACUCGGCAUUAAGCUUUCAACUGUUUAUCAAAAACAUAGCUGUGUGUAUCAUACGCAGUAAUUUCUGCUCAAUGAGACAUUAAAUAGCCGCAGUACCCUGACUGUGCAAAGGUAGCGUAAUCAAUUGUCUUUUAAUUAGAGACAGGUAUGAAGGAAUAUAUGGGGGCUUUCUUUACCAUUGGCAUAGGGAGAAUUUGCUUAUCGAGUGAAAAUACUCGUGGAUAAAUAAUAGACGAGAAGACCCUUGAAAUUUUUAGUAACUUUUUGUUGGGGCAACAUAGUAGCAGAUAACCUACUAGAAUUAACCAGAAAUUAUGUGGUGUGAUUAAAUUACUCUAGGGAUAACAGCGUAAUCCUUGAUUGUUUGCGACCUCGAUGUUGGAUUAGGGAAUUGUCGCUUAGAA
rnacentral:rRNA from 1 species